ACGCGAAGCCGAACACCAGAAAAUCGAACAAGAAAAUCCCAAAAACAGGCGAUUGCUUGUGUCUAAGUACCUGAAUGGUGACCAAAAUACCACAGGGACGCGACCAUGAUGGAACCUCGAACGUCCACUUAGAUCACACCUAUCUCAAUGACAAGAACUUGAAUCCAAAUGAGACUUUUCUAUUUUUCUUUUCGUUUUUUUUAUUCAAGGGAAACUGAAAAAAAGAAGAAGGAAAAGAAACAUUAUGAACUCUAGGAAUUUUCUCAAGUUUUCUGCUAAAAAAUCAUUGCCCACGGCUGUUCUUCAAGCUUGGAAACAUCUCGUCAUUCAUGUGUGUGGUCACCAGUUUCCGGUGGGAUGUUGUGACGGGGGUGACACGAGACAGGUC
rnacentral:lncRNA from 1 species